rnacentral:rRNA from 1 species
UACUAGAGUAGCACUCGCAUAUCAAUAAGCGGAGGAAAAGAAACUAACAAGGAUUCCCCUAGUAACGGCGAGUGAAGCGGGAAGAGCUCAAAUUUGAAAUCUUAAAGGGUUUCCCUUUACGAAUUGUAGUUUAAAGAAGUGUUUUCUGUUGAGGUUUUGGUAAAAGUUCUUUGGAAUAGGACAUCAUAGAGGGUGAGAAUCCCGUAUUUGACCUUUACUUUCAACUUUGUGAUACACUUUCAAAGAGUCGGAUUGUUUGGGAAUGCAGUCCAAAAUGGGUGGUAAAUUUCAUCUAAAGCUAAAUAUUGGCGAGAGACCGAUAGCGAACAAGUACCGUGAGGGAAAGAUGAAAAGAACUUUGAAAAGAGAGUUAAACAGUACGUGAAAUUGUCAAAAGGGAAGCGUUUGACACCAGUGUUGUUUUUCUGAAAAUCAAUUAAAGAACUGUUUAUGCUAAGCUGUUUAGACUUUAUCAGCUAAUCUGUUUAGUUUUGAGCUUUUCUUUAAUGCACUUUUCAGUUAACAAGUCAACAUCAAUUUCUUUUGCUGUAAAAAAGCUUGAGGAAGGUGGCUUGAGAUUCGUCUUAAGUGUUUAUAGCCUCUUGCCUAUGCAGUCGGAGAGAUUGAGGUCUGCAGCGUAGAUCCUUCGGGGCUAAAUGCAUUUGUGCUAAGUUAUAGCAUUUUAUAGACAACUUGUUGACUAUGAUUUGUCUUGUAGCUUACUCGCUUAUGUUAUUUUACCUACGCUUAGGAUGUUGAGUAGCGACAUACGCAC